AGGACGAACGCUGGCGGCGUGCUUAACACAUGCAAGUUGAGCGGAAAGGCCCUUUUGGGGGUACUCGAGCGGCGAACGGGUGAGUAACACGUGAGUAACCUGCCCUGGACUUUGGGAUAACCCUCGGAAACGGGGGCUAAUACCGGAUAUGACUUGGCCUCGCAUGGGGUUGGGUGGAAAGUUUUUCGGUCUGGGAUGGGCUCGCGGCCUAUCAGCUUGUUGGUGGGGUGAUGGCCUACCAAGGCGACGACGGGUAG
rnacentral:rRNA from 1 species